GACGAACGCUGGCGGCGUGCUUAACACAUGCAAGUCGAACGGAAAGGCCCUGCUUUUGUGGGGUGCUCGAGUGGCGAACGGGUGAGUAACACGUGAGUAACCUGCCCUUGACUUUGGGAUAACUUCAGGAAACUGGGGCUAAUACCGGAUAGGAGCUCCUGCUGCAUGGUGGGGGUUGGAAAGUUUCGGCGGUUGGGGAUGGACUCGCGGGUUAUCAGCUUGUUGGUGGGGUAGUGGCUUACCAAGGCUUUGACGGGUAGCCGGCCUGAGAGGGUGACCGGCCACAUUGGGACUGAGGUACGGCCCAGACGCGUACGGGAGGCAGCAGUGGGGAAUAUUGCACAAUGGGCGGAAGCCUGAUGCAGCAACGCCGCGUGCGGGAUGACGGCCUUCGGGUUGUAAACCGCUUUCGCCUGUGACGAAGCGUGAGUGACGGUAAUGGGUAAAGAAGCACCGGCUAACUACGUG
rnacentral:rRNA from 1 species